rnacentral:rRNA from 1 species
UACGGAGGGUGCGAACGUUAAUCCGCAUUACUGGGCGUAAAGCGCGCGUAGGCGGUUCUGCAAGUGGGAUGUGAAAGCCCCGGGCUUAACCUGGGAAUUGCGUUCCAAACUACCGGGCUAGAGUAUGGUAGAGGGAGGUAGAAUUUCCUGUGUAGCGGUGAAAUGCGUAGAUAUAGGAAGGAAUACCGGUGGCGAAGGCGGCCACCUGGACCAAUACUGACGCUGAGGUGCGAAAGCGUGGGGAGCAAACAGG